rnacentral:rRNA from 1 species
UGUGUAGGCGGUUGUUUAAGUUUGGUGUGAAAUCUCCCGGCUCAACUGGGAGGGUGCGCCGAAUACUGAAUGACUUCGAGUGCGGGAGAGGAAAGUGGAAUUCCUGGUGUAGCGGUGAAAUGCGUAGAUAUCAGGAGGAACACCGGUGGUGUAGACGGCUUUCUGGACCGUAACUGACGCUGAGACACGAAAGCGUGGGUAGCAAACAGGAUUAGAUACCCUGGUAGUCCACGCCCUAAACGAUGCAUAUUUGGUGUGGGUCAUUCAGUUGAUCCGUGCCGGAGCUAACGCGUUAAAUAUGCCGCCUGGGGAGUACAGUCGCAAGGCUGAA